rnacentral:lncRNA from 1 species
GUCGAGACCUACAUUUACGUGCUGGUUCACUAAACAUUCACUCAUUUCAUAGUUUUUUAAAACAAAUAUUUAAUAAAAACGAUAAAUAACAACUUCAACGCGGCCAUGUGUUUUCCGCCCUUUUUUCCCGUCUAAUUAAUGUACUUUAUGUCGCCAAAAUGGCGUUAGUUUGUCAACUGUUCGUUUUCGCUCCGACAUCUCCCCCUCCCGGAUUUCUUGUGAUCCGUCUUCUAAUGAUUUCAAAAUUCCAGUGGUGAUACGCGUCCAAUCGACCGUCUGUAGAUCUUAUCAUUUUCUCUCACAUCCACUACACGAACAUUGCCGUCCUUUCCAGGAUAAACUGCUUCAAUCUUCCCCAAUUCCAUUGUCGUCUCGGUGUACCUGGAUCGAUAGCUAAUACCAUAUCUCCUUUCUUGACAUUAUCUUGCUUGUUAAACCACUUUGAUCGGGACCCAAGACUUGUAAGGUACUCUUGCAUCCAGCGUUUCCAGGUUUGGCGAAUAAGUUCCUGCACGCGCCUCCAACGUUUCUUGGGGUUAAACGGUGUGUAGUCGACACUCUCUGGCGC